AGAGUUUGAUCCUGGCUCAGAUUGAACGCUGGCGGCGUGCCUAACACAUGCAAGUCGAGCGGUAACAGGUGUAGCAAUACAUGCUGACGAGCGGCGGACGGGUGAGUAACGCUUGGGAAUCUGCCUGAUAGUGGGGGACAACCCGGGGAAACUCGGGCUAAUACCGCAUACGCAUUACGGUGGAAAGCCGGGGACCGCAAGGCCUGGCGCUAACAGAUGAGCCCAAGUCGGAUUAGCUAGUUGGUAGGGUAACGGCCUACCAAGGCGACGAUCCGUAACUGGUCCGAGAGGACGACCAGUCACACCGGAACUGAGACACGGUCCGGACUCCUACGGGAGGCAGCAGUGGGGAAUAUUGGACAAUGGGCGAAAGCCUGAUCCAGCGACGCCGCGUGGGUGAAGAAGGCCUGCGGGUUGUAAAGCCCUUUCGGUGGGGAAGAAAAGCCUCGAGUUAACACCUCGGGGUCUUGACGUAACCCAUAGAAGAAGCACCGGCUAACUCUGUGCCAGCAGCCGCGGUAAUACAGAGGGUGCGAGCGUUAAUCGGAAUUACUGGGCGUAAAGCGCGCGUAGGCGGCUUUGCAAGUCGGGUGUGAAAUCCCCAGGCUUAACCUGGGAACUGCAUUCGAGACUGCAUUGCUAGAGUAUGGGAGAGGGAAGUGGAAUUUCCGGUGUAGCGGUGAAAUGCGUAGAUAUCGGAAGGAACAUCAGUGGCGAAAGCGACUUCCUGGACCAAUACUGACGCUCAUGUGCGAAAGCGUGGGGAGCAAACAGGAUUAGAUACCCUGGUAGUCCACGCCAUAAACGAUGACAACUGGAUGUCGGGAGGGUCUGCCUCUCGGUGUCGUAGCUAACGCGUUAAGUUGUCCGCCU
rnacentral:rRNA from 1 species